rfam:Bacillus pseudofirmus OF4, complete genome.
CUCUUAUCCAGAGUAGGUGGAGGGACAGGCCCGAAGAAACCCAGCAACCAACACUCAUGCCAAACGAGUGAAAAGGUGCUAACCUGCAAGGCAGCUGCCUUGAACGAUAAGAG